rnacentral:rRNA from 1 species
ACGUCCGUACUCGCGAAUGCAACAGANGNUUAAUUUGAUCAUGGCUCAGAUCCCACGGUGGUAGCAGGCCUAACACAUGCAAGUCGAGCGGAUGACGGGAGCUUGCUCCUUGAUUCAGCGGCGGACGGGUGAGUAAUGCCUAGGAAUCUGCCUGGUAGUGGGGGACAACGUUUCGAAAGGAACGCUAAUACCGCAUACGUCCUACGGGAGAAAGCAGGGGACCUUCGGGCCUUGCGCUAUCAGAUGAGCCUAGGUCGGAUUAGCUAGUUGGUGAGGUAAUGGCUCACCAAGGCGACGAUCCGUAACUGGUCUGUGAGGAUGAUCAGUCACACUGGAACUGAGACACGGUCCAGACUCCUACGGGAGGCAGCAGUGGGGAAUAUUGGACAAUGGGCGAAAGCCUGAUCCAGCCAUGCCGCGUGUGUGAAGAAGGUCUUCGGAUUGUAAAGCACUUUAAGUUGGGAGGAAGGGCAGUAAGUUAAUACCUUGCUGUUUUAGACAGUUACCGACAGAAUAAGCACCGGCUAACUCUGUGCCAGCAGCCGCGGUAAUACAGAGGGUGCAAGCGUUAAUCGGAAUUACUGGGCGUAAGCGCGCGUAAGUGGGUUGUAAGUUGGAUGUUGAAAGCCCGGGGUCCAC